rnacentral:rRNA from 1 species
UACGAAGGGGGCUAGCGUUGCUCGGAAUCACUGGGCGUAAAGGGUGCGUAGGCGGGUCUUUAAGUUAGAGGUGAAAGCCCGGGGCUCAACCCCGGAACUGCCUUUGAUACUGGGUAUCUCGAGUCCGGAAGAGGUGAGUGGAAUUCCGAGUGUAGAGGUGAAAUUCGUAGAUAUUCGGAGGAACACCAGUGGCGAAGGCGGCUCACUGGUCCGGUACUGACGCUGAGGUGCGAAAGCGUGGGGAGCAAACAGG